AAAGAAACCAACAGGGAUUGCCCUAGUAACGGCGAGUGAAGCGGCAACAGCUCAAAUUUGAAAUCUGGCCCUCGGGUCCGAGUUGUAAUUUGUAGAGGAUGCUUUUGGUGAGGUGCCUUCCGAGUUCCCUGGAACGGGACGCCAUAGAGGGUGAGAGCCCCGUCUGGUUGGACACCGAGCCUCUGUAAAGCUCCUUCGACGAGUCGAGUAGUUUGGGAAUGCUGCUCUAAAUGGGAGGUAUAUGUCUUCUAAAGCUAAAUACCGGCCAGAGACCGAUAGCGCACAAGUAGAGUGAUCGAAAGAUGAAAAGCACUUUGAAAAGAGAGUUAAAAAGUACGUGAAAUUGUUGAAAGGGAAGCGCUUAUGACCAGACUUGGGCUUGGUUGAUCAUCUUGGGUUCUCCCUGGUGCACUCUUCCAGUUCAGGCCAGCAUCAGUUCGCUGCGGGGGAUAAAAGUUUUAGGAAUGUGGCUCCCUCGGGAGUGUUAUAGCCUAUUGCAUAAUACCCUGCUCCGGACUGAGGUUCGCGCAUCUGCAAGGAUGCUGGCGUAAUGGUCAUCAGCGACCCGUCUUGAAACACGGACCAAGGAGUCGUCUUCGUAUGCGAGUGUUCGGGUGUUAAACCCCUACGCGUAAUGAAAGUGAACGCACGUGAGAGCUUCGGCGCAUCAUCGACCGAUCCUGAUGUUCUCGGAUGGAUUUGAGUAAGAGCAUACGGGGCCGGACCCGAAAGAAGUGAACUAUGCCUGUAUAGGGUGAAGCCAGAGGAAACUCUGGUGGAGGCUCGCAGCGGUUCUGACGUGCAAAUCGAUCGUCAAAUAUGGGCAUGGGGGCGAAAGACUAAUCGACCCUUCUAGUAGCUGGGUUUCCGCCGAAGUUUCCCUCAGGA
rnacentral:rRNA from 1 species